UAAUACAGAGGUCCCAAGCGUUGUUCGGAUUCACUGGGCGUAAAGGGUGCGUAGGUGGUGAGGUAAGUCGGAUGUGAAAGCUCCGAGCUCAACUCGGAAAUGGCAUUGGAAACUACCUUGCUCGAGGGUUUGAGGGGGGACUGGAAUACUUGGUGUAGCAGUGAAAUGCGUAGAUAUCAAGUAGAACACCAGUGGCGAAGGCGAGUCCCUGGAAAACUCCUGACACUGAGGCACGAAAGCUAGGGGAGCAAACAGGAUUAGAUACCCUGGUAGUCCUAGCCGUAAACGGUGCGUAUUUGCUGUAAAAGGAAUCGACCCCUUUUGUGGCGUAGCCAACGCGUUAAAUACGCCGCCUGGGAAGUACGGUCGCAAGAUUA
rnacentral:rRNA from 1 species